UACGAAGGGGGCUAGCGUUGUUCGGAAUCAUUGGGCGUAAAGCGCGCGUAGGCGGCCCGAUAAGUCUGCUGUGAAAGUCCAGGGCUCAACCCUGGAAUGCCGGUGGAUACUGUCGGGCUAGAGUUCGGAAGAGGCAAGUGGAAUUCCUGGUGUAGCGGUGAAAUGCGCAGAUAUCAGGAGGAACACCGAUGGCGAAGGCAGGUCUCUGGGCCACUACUGACGCUGAGAAGCGAAAGCAUGGGGAGCGAACAGG
rnacentral:rRNA from 1 species